rnacentral:rRNA from 1 species
AGAUGUUUGAUCAUGGCUCAGGACGAACGCUGGCGGCGUGCUUAACACAUGCAAGUCGAGCGGUAAGGCCCUUUCGGGGGUACACGAGCGGCGAACGGGUGAGUAACACGUGGGUAACCUGCCCUCAGCUCUGGGAUAAGCCCGGGAAACUGGGUCUAAUACCGGAUAUGACCUCGCAUCGCAUGGUGUGGGGUGGAAAGCCUUGUGCGGCUGAGGAUGGGCCCGCGGCCUAUCAGCUUGUUGGUGAGGUAACGGCUCACCAAGCUACGACGGGUAGCUGGUCUGAGAGGACGACCAGCCACACUGGAACUGAGACACGGUCCAGACACCUACGGGUGGCAGCAGUCGAGAAUCUUUCACAAUGGGGGAAACCCUGAUGGAGCGACGCCGCGUGGAGGAUGAAGGUCUUCGGAUUGUAAACUCCUGUCAUGAGAGAACAAGCAGACCCGGUAAACAUCCGGGCGAGCCGAUAGUAUCUCAAGAGGAAGGGACGGCUAACUUCGUGCCAGCAGCCGCGGUAAUACGAAGGUCCCAAGCGUUGUUCGGAAUCACUGGGCGUAAAGGGUGCGUAGGCGGCGCGAAAAGUCAGAUGUGAAAUCCCGGGGCUCACCGGAAUGGCAUCCGAUACUCUCGCGCUUGAGGACUGGAGGGGAGUCUGGAUCACGGUGUAGCAGUGAAAUGCGUAGAUAUCGUGAGGAACACUAUUGGCCAAGGCGAGACUCUGGACA